GACGAACGCUGGCGGCGUGCUUAACACAUGCAAGUCGAACGGAAAGGCCCUGCUUUUGUGGGGUGCUCGAGUGGCGAACGGGUGAGUAACACGUGAGUAACCUGCCCUUGACUUUGGGAUAACUUCAGGAGACUGGGGCUAAUACCGGAUAGGAGCUCCUGCUGCAUGGUGGGGGUUGGAAAGUUUCGGCGGUUGGGGAUGGACUCGCGGCUUAUCAGCUUGUUGGUGGGGUAGUGGCUGACCAAGGCUUUGACGGGUAGCCGGCCUGAGAGGGUGACCGGCCACAUUGGGACUGAGAGACGGCCCAGACUCCUACGGGAGGCAGAAGUGGGGAAUAUUGCACAGUGGGCGGAAGCCUGAUGCAGCAACGCCGCGUUCGGGAUGACGGCCUUCGGGUUGUAAACCGCUUUCGCCUGUGACGAAGCGUGAGUGACGGUAAUGGGUAAAGAAGCACCGGCUAACUACGUG
rnacentral:rRNA from 1 species